GGCUCCGUGGUGUAAUGGUAGCACAAGACUGUGGUUUGGGAUCCACUCCAAGUCUAGUUUCCGGGUUCGAAUCCCGGCGGAGCAA